rnacentral:lncRNA from 1 species
AAAGAUUCAUAACGUGACACUAAAAGUUCCCGACCACGAUAGAUCCUUUCACUGGUGGGAGAUGCUCCUCAUUCUGCAAGGCAUGUUCAGUCCCUGCUCUCUGGUGCACAGGUGCAUGUAGAGAGAGGUAGGUAAGCAGCUCCCUCUUGCUCCUUUCAGCGAGUUCAGCAUUCUUUUGGUCAGUGUGGAUGUACUGCCUCACACAGCAGCACCACGACAGCUGAGUCUUUCCAUGUUUGUCCUCUCUACAUCGUGCUGCUUAGGAGCUUCUGAGACCAAGCCAGCAGUAAUACAGCUAUCUGGCUAAUCGCUGCUAAAUACAGACUGCUUUCUCUUGACAGGCUUGUCUGAGGCCUCCCAUAAAUCACAAUUUGUUUGACUGCAGGAAUGGAAAAUGUUUAUUUGAACACUUACAUUUAGCAAGAAGUCUUGUACGUAUGGGAAUGUCAGGAUCAUCUUCGGGAUUGUCAGACUUUUCUUUGGCUGCCCACCUCACUUUUAUUUCGUUUGGAGGCCUAAAGACAUAUGGCAAGCAGCACAUUCUGUGAUUUAAGGCAUGUUAACUAUGGCACUGCAGGUUUUCAUGUGACGAGAAGAGAUUUCCUUCAGCCUACUAAACUGAUUCUCAUACUUCUUGACUAGUGACAUGUUGGCUGUGUGGCAGCAAUAAGUUUUGCAUAACUUUUAAGAGCCUGUGCUGACCUACUUAACAGGCAUCCACUGCUACAUAAUGUAUUUAGGUCAAGUAUUGUGUUUGAGCUUAUCAUCAAUCUUGUAAUAAUCCAACUCACUGUGAAAGCCACAGGUACCUGACUGAUGCAAACAUUCUAUAGGGGAGAAAAUACUCUUGUCCUGUUCAGAAGGGGAGGGUGGUUGUCGUGGUGCUGUAGUUUGUUUCUUCUGGGGAAGCAUGGAGGAGAGCCGAUCCUGCCCUCGUCUGCCCGUGCUGCUGCACCACUGCUUUGUCUCCCUGCACUCCCAGUGGUUCAAAGGAUGUCCAAAACUGUCUAG